AAUCUCAACCAUUAGGGUUUCUUAAUGGCUUGGAUUUGGAUGUUGGCAGUUUACUGCCUCAUCUUAAAAGAGUUAGCAAGUUAACUAUUGCUGUCUGGCGUAAUAAGUUUCGCUGGUAAGGCAUUGUGAAGCGUGCUUCUAAUCGUCUUCGGACAAUUACUUUGA
rnacentral:misc_RNA from 1 species